AUUGGCAUAGAGCCAUAUGUAGAGAAUCUUUAUUCGCAUUCCCUUACAACCCAAUCAUCACAUAAUUCCCGAGUCGUAGGGCCUAAACACCCCAAUCUUUCCCAGCGUUCCACUCCAAUCCGUGGCAAAUUUCUGUUAUCAAAAAAAAAAAAGUUCCGUUGCAAAUUUCUCUCAGGUUUCCCGACUCUCCCUUCUCUCUCGCGCGCGCGCGCGCCGCGAAGUUCCGCGCCCCACCUCUUCGAAGAAACCCCACCCAGAUCCCUUCUCCCUCUCACGAGAACUAGGGUUUCUGGAUUACUGAGCUUCCUCUCCGGCUCGAUUUCUUCACCAGGAGAUCUCUUGGUUCAUGCCUCUCCAAGAAAACACCUUUUCUGGGCUCUCCUCGGUCUGAUUACCCCCGUCUUCGCUCGGAUCAUUGCGGUUUUGUUGCAUCACUUCUGAGAUCGGGAGAAGAGGGGCGGAGAUGCGAGUCUCGAGCUGGGUUCUGUCGAUCUGGUUGAUCUUUGGUUGGUUCUUGACAUCUGGAUCUUCUGAACCGGCGGAUUUCCGGCGGGCAUUUCCAAUUGUGGAGCCAGAUCCUGGUCAUACUAAACUGCAUCUUGCAAGGGAGGGUUUGGAGGCAAUUGAAAGAAUUACGACCCCUAUAGCAGCCGUCGCUGUUAUUGGUCCCUAUCGGUCAGGAAAAUCCUUUCUUCUUAAUCAACUUCUUUCACUGCAAUGUGAUGAAGGUUUUGGUGUUGGACAUAUGCGUGAUACGAAGACAAAAGGAAUAUGGGUUUGGGGUAGCCCGGUGGAAUCAGUUAUUGAUGGAACAAAGGUGUCAGUGCUGUAUCUCGAUACUGAGGGAUUUGAAAGUGUUGGAAAAUCAAAUGUAUAUGAUGAUAGGAUCUUUGCUCUGGCAACGGUUAUGAGUUCUGUUCUUAUCUACAACCUGCCUGAGACGAUUCGCGAGGCUGAUAUAUCUCGUCUGUCAUUUGCUGUUGAAAUUGCGGAAGAAUUCUAUGGAAGAGUUAAGGGACAGGAUGUUGCAUUUGAGCCUGCUAAACUCUUAUGGCUUAUCCAGCGAGAUUUCCUGCAAGGGAAGUCUGUUCAAGAAAUGGUGAAUGAAGCUCUUCAGCGGGUCCCCAAUAAUAAUGGAGACAAAAACAUCAACCAGGUAAAUCAAAUUCGAGAGUCCUUGGCGAUUAUGGGUGAUAAUAGUACAGCCUUUAGCUUACCACAGCCUCAUCUUCAAAGAACAAAGCUUUGUGAAUUGAAGGAUAGUGAACUUGAUCCAAUGUAUGUAAAGAAGAGGGAGCAGUUGAAACAACUUGUUGCAUCCAUUAUACAUCCAAAAAUUGUGCAGGGUAAACCUCUGAAUGGAAAGGAGUUCGUAUCUUUUCUAAAACAGAUUCUUGAAGCCUUGAACAAAGGAGAAAUUCCAUCAACAGGUUCUCUUGUUGAGGUUUUUAAUAAGGUGAUUCUUGAACGUUGCUUGAAGCUGUACAGUCAACGGAUUGACAAGUUGGGUCUACCAGUACCAGUGGACAAAUUACAGCAGGCUCAUGAUGAGUCAAAAAAAGAAGCAAGAAAACUCUUUGACGAACAGCAUUUUGGCCAUCAUCAUGCUGAACAAUCUGUCCUAAAACUUGAUGAUGAAAUGGAGAAGGUUUAUAGAAACAUCCUUCUGGCAAAUGAAUAUCAGUCAUCAAAAUUGUGUGAGGCCUUGUACACAAAGUGCGAGGAUCUAAUGGAUCAGCUUCAAGUCUUGAGACUUCCUUCUAUGGCAAAAUUUAAUGCUGGUUUUCUUCGGUGCAAUCAAAGUUUUGAAAAAGACUGUGUUGGGCCUUCAAAGGAAGCUUAUGAGAAGAGAAUGAUGAAGAUGCUUGGAAAGUCACGUUCUCUUUUUAUCAAGGAUUACAACAACAGACUUUUCAAUUGGUUAGUGGCUUUCUCCCUUGUUAUGGUUGUAGUGGGCCGGUUCAUCAUCAAGUUCAUUUUGAUAGAGAUCGGUGCAUGGGUGAUGUUUAUUUUCUUGGAGACAUAUACAAGAAUGUUCUGGUCAGCAGAGUCGCUGUACUAUAAUCCUGCUUGGCAUUUUAUUGUAGCUACUUGGGAAACUAUAGUUUAUAGCCCUUUUCUUGAUCUGGAUAGAUGGGCAAUUCCUAUUGGAGUUUUGCUGAUGAUUCUGCUUGUAUACUGGCGGUGUUGUGGGAGGAGGAAACGUGGCACUCGUUCCCUGUUACCGCUGUAUAACAAACCUCAUAAAGGUGGUCCCAAUCGCCCAAGAUCAGACUGAAGACAAAGCCUGAAGGAAGUCUGCAUCAUUCAGCUUUUUUGCCCAGGAGAUCUGCUACAUGACGAUCAUUCAUCUCAUUGGAUGGGCCUUAUUUUUAUGGUGCCCUGCCAGUGAGUUCAGAUUUUUUCGGGGCAUUCAGUUAUUAUUGGUAGAGAGAGGAAAUUAUCAAAGCAUUGGACAAAUAGCUGGUAUGUGCUCUACGCCACUCAUGUGAUUCUAUCAUGUUUUAACAUCGAAAUCUUCGAAGGUAAAUGUUUGAAGCCUAUCAUAUCGCUCCCCAUAGAAGAUUGUGUGAAUUCGGCGGAGGACUUCCACUUGAACCAUUCCUUGGAUCAGUUCAGGACAAGCAGCUUUAAGUUGUCUAACCAAGCUUCUUACAGCAGAAUAAUAAAACUAUUUUUUGGCAGCAGAAUAAUAAAUUCUGGUCAUGGAGUGCCAACUUACUAAGUUGGUAAGUACUUGUACCAACAUUUGUGUUUAAGUUAAACCUUUGCCAGGAUUUGGAUAGUCAUCAAUGUAGGGGAAGGGCUAUACCAGGUAUGGUCUAUUGCUUUGGUAAAAACACUUAAAUUAUUGUAUGUUCAUUAAAAAGAUAGACUUCAAUUAUGUUUGAGCUUGGAUAACUUUGAAAGGGAUAGCAGGCAAGAAAAAAA